rnacentral:misc_RNA from 1 species
GAUGAAGAACGCAGCAAAAUGCGAUAAGUAAUGUGAAUUGCAGAAUUCAGUGAAUCAUCGAAUCUUUGAACGCACAUUGCGCCCGCCAGUAUUCUGGCGGGCAUGCCUGUUCGAGCGUCAUUUCAACCCUCAAGCUCAGCUUGGUGUUGGGACUCGCGGUAACCCGCGUUCCCCAGAUCGAUUGGCGGUCACGUCGAGCUUCCAUAGCGUAGUAAUCAUACACCUCGUUACUGGUAAUCGUCGCGGCCACGCCGUAAAACCCCAACUUCUGAAUGUUGACCUCGGAUCAGGUAGGAAUACCCGCUGAACUUAAGCAUAUCAAUAAGCGGAGGA